GCCGUCAGGGGGGCGGCGGCGGCGGCGCUGAGGGAGCUGAGGGAGGAGCUGCAGCCCGAGGUGGCUCCGCUGGCGGCCGAGGCCCUCCCGAGGAUUUUGGGGGAAUUUUGGGGCUCCCGGAAUUCCGGGAAUUCCCCAAAUCCCGACCCCAGGUCCUGGUUCGUGCUGGAGACGCUGCUGGAGGCGCUGGGGGAGGGGGUUCAGCCCUGGCUGCCCCAGGUGAUUCCCAGGAUUUUGGGAGCUUUGGAGGCGUCGGAGCCGGAGCGGAGCCGGGAGCUGGCGCUGAGCGCGCUGCACGCGCUGGCCUGCAGCUCCGGCUCCCUGCACCUCCCCUCCCCCGCCCUGGCAGCCGUCACCGCCCUGGCCCGGGGGGGACCCCAGCAGUUACAGGCACUGGAGGUGCUGGCGGCGCUGGGCCCGGCCGUGGUGGGGGAGGGGCUGCUGGAGGCUCUGGAGCGGGGGCUGGGCCUGGCCCCGGGGGAUCCCGAGGCCACCAGGGUGAGGUGAGUGAGGCAAUUCCCCCAAAAUUCCCAAAAAUUCCCCCAAAAUUCCCAGAAUUCCCUGAAAUUCCCCAAAAUUCCCCAAAUUCCCAGAAUUCCCCAAAUUCCCAAAAAAAAUUCCCCAAAAAAAUUCCCAAAAAAAACCCCAAAAAUCCCAAAAAUUCCCCCAAAAUCCCCCCAAAUUCCCCCAAAUUCCCAGAAUUCCCCAGAAUUCCCCAGAAUUCCCAAAAUUCCCAAAAUUCCCCAAAAUUCCCCAGAAUUCCCAGAAUUCCCCAAAAAAAGCCCCAAAAAACUCCAAAAAUUCCGCCAAAAAUUCCCAAAAAUUCCCCAAAAUUCCCAAAAAUUCCCCAAAACUCCCCAAAGAAAUUCCCCAAAAAAAUUCCCCCCAAAAAUUCCCAAAAAUUCCCCAAGAAUUCCAAAAAAUUCCCACAAAAUAUUCCCAAAAACCCCCGAAAUUCCCCCCAAAAAACUCCAAAAAACCCCAAAAAUUCCCCCAAAAAUUCCCAAAAAAAUCCCUGAAAAUUCCCCCAAAAAAUCCCAAAAUUGAAAAAAAACCCCAAAAAUUCCCCAAAAAAAAUUCCCAAAAAAACCCCAAAAAACCCCAAAAAAUUCCCAGAAAAUUCCCCUAAAAAUCCCAAAAAACCCAAAAAAAUUUCCAGAAAAUUCACAAAAAAUCCAAAAAAUUCCCCCAAAAUUCCCCAAAAAAAUCCCUGAAAAUUCCCUCCAAAAAAUUCCCAAAACCCCCCGAAAUUCCCCCAAAAAACCCCCAAAAAUCCCAAAAAUUCCCUCGAAAAUUCCCAAAAAUUCCCCAGAAAAUUUCCCAAAAAAAUUCCCCCCCAAAAAUUCCCCCAAAAAUCCCCAAAAAU
rnacentral:lncRNA from 1 species